rnacentral:rRNA from 1 species
UAGGGAAUCUUCCGCAAUGGGACGAAAGUCUGACGGAGCAACGCCGCGUGAGUGAAGAAGGAUUUCGGUUCGUAAAACUCUGUUGUUAGGGAAGAAUGAAUAUGUAGUAACUAUACAUGUUAGAGACGGUACCUAACCAGAAAGCCACGGCUAACUACGUGCCAGCAGCCGCGGUAAUACGUAGGUGGCAAGCGUUGUCCGGAAUUAUUGGGCGUAAAGCGCGCGCAGGUGGUUUAAAAAGUCUGAUGUGAAAGCCCACGGCUCAACCGUGGAAUGUCAUUGGAAACUGUUAAACUUGAGUGCAGGAGAGAAAAGUGGAAUUCCUAGUGUAGCGGUGAAAUGCGUAGAGAUUAGGAGGAACACCAGUGGCGAAGGCGGCUUUUUGGCCUGUAACUGACACUGAGGCGCGAAAGCGUGGGGAGCAAACAGGAUUAGAUACCCUGGUAGU